GGGGCUAUAGCUCAGUUGGGAGAGUACGACACUGGCAGUGUUGGGGUCAGCGGUUCGAUUCCGCUUAGCUCCACCA
rnacentral:tRNA from 1 species